rnacentral:rRNA from 1 species
ACGGGAGGCAGCAGUGAGGAAUAUUGGUCAAUGGGCGAGAGCCUGAACCAGCCAAGUAGCGUGAAGGAUGACUGCCCUAUGGGUUGUAAACUUCUUUUGUCCAGGAAUAAAAAAGCCCUCGCGCAGGGUUCUUGCAGGUACUGGUUGAAUAAGGACCGGCUAAUUCCGUGCCAGCAGCCGCGGUAAUACGGAAGGUCCGAGCGUUAUCCGGAUUUAUUGGGUUUAAAGGGUGCGUAGGCGGGAAGUCAAGUCAGCCGUAAAAUCGCCGGGCUCAACCCGGUCCCGCGGUUGAAACUGUCUUCCUUGAGUACACUAGAGGGCGAUGGAAUUCGUGGUGUAGCGGUGAAAUGCAUAGAUAUCACGAAGAACUCCGAUUGUGAAGGCAGCUGGCGGUACCGUUGCCGACGCUCAUGCUCGAAAGUGUGGGUAUCGAACAGGAUUAGAUACCCUGGUA